rnacentral:tRNA from 1 species
GCCCGGGUGGUGGAACUGGUAGACACGCAGGACUUAAAAUCCUGUGGCCUUUGCGGCUGUACGGGUUCGAUUCCCGUCCCGGGUA